UGGGGAAUAUUGGACAAUGGGCGAAAGCCUGAUCCAGCCAUGCCGCGUGUGUGAAGAAGGCCUUAUGGUUGUAAAGCACUUUAAGCGAGGAGGAGGGUACUGGUAUUAAUACUACCAGGUACUGGACGUUACUCGCAGAAUAAGCACCGGCUAACUCUGUGCCAGCAGCCGCGGUAAUACAGAGGGUGCGAGCGUUAAUCGGAUUUACUGGGCGUAAAGCGUGCGUAGGCGGCUAAUUGAGUCGGAUGUGAAAUCCCCGAGCUUAACUUGGGAAUUGCAUUCGAUACUGGUUAGCUAGAGUGUGGGAGAGGAUGGUAGAAUUCCAGGUGUAGCGGUGAAAUGCGUGGAGAUCUGGAGGAAUACCGAUGGCGAAGGCAGCCAUCUGGCCUAACACUGACGCUGAGGUACGAAAGCAUGGGGAGCAAACAGG
rnacentral:rRNA from 1 species